AGCCCUAGCCCCGGCCCCCUCGCCAGCCCUGGCCCCUCCCCGCCCUGGCCCUGGCUCUAGCCCUAGCCCAGCCCUAGCCCCAGCCCUAGCCCCAGCCCCCCUCGCCAGCCCUGGCCCCGCCCCCGCCAGCCCUGGCCCCGCCCCCGCCCUGGCCCUGGCUCUAGCCCUAGCCCCCCAGCCCCUAGCCCCCCCAGCCCUAGCCCUCCCCGCCCCCUCGCCAGCCCGGCCCGCCCCCCCGCCCGCCAGCCCUGGCCCCCGCCCCGCCCGCCCUGGCCCUAGCCCCAGCCCUAGCCCCAGCCCUAGCCCCGGCCCUAGCCCCGGCCCCCGCGCCAGCCCUGGCCCCGCCCCCGCCAGCCCUGGCCCCGCCCCACCCUGGCCCUGGCCCUAGCCCCAGCCCUAGCCCCAGCCCCCUCGCCAGCCCUGGCCCCGCCCCCGCCAGCCCUGGCCCCGCCCCACCCUGGCCCUGGCCCUAGCCCCAGCCCUAGCCCCGGCCCUAGCCCCGGCCCCCUCGCCAGCCCUGGCCCCGCCCCCUCCAGCCCUGGCCCCGCCCCGCCCUGGCCCUGGCCCUGGGCCAGUAGCUUCCGUCCGCACCACCCUGCGGGAGGAGCGGCUGCGAAACCUUUUUCGCAAAAGCCCGGUCUUUUCGCGUCGCCGGCGCCCGCCUUGUGAUCUGAGUUAUUGCAAGUGGCGGCUGCCGGCCCCGUCUAGUAGGGCUGGGCCUUGGAGAACAUCCCAGAUAGUCACGAGGCGGGCGGGGACUGCGGUGCCCUGCUCGGUGGCAUUCCGUCGCCGGUUGCUCUAUGCCCUGGCCUCGUGUUUACAAAUAAGGGAAACUGGAGCCCCAGAGGUGUCAGUAUCCUCCAGGCAAACAGCCUUGCCCCACAGGGCAGAGAAAGAGAGUUACCUCUGUGACUCCUGGAAUGACCAGACCAAAAUCCUGCUUUGGGAUCUCAGAUCGUCAAAAGAGAGCUUCGAAAUCCCAAAACGGAGCAACGGCCAAGACCUUUGCCAACAGGAAUGUUGCUAAUUAGAUUUUCCUAAGGCACCUGAAGUGCACAGCCACAGCUCCCACCUCCAUCAUCUAUCAAAUCAGCUAAGAUUGGUUUCCUGGUCAGUGAAAGACAGCUCCUCUGGGCCUUAGCACAAGCUCUUUCCUCUCUCAGGAAUGUCUUCUCCCAGGUGCCCACAUGGACAGCUCAUGAAGGAGGCAUCACGUGUUUGUGCUAAUGCCACCCCAGAAAGGUAGUCUUUGACCAUCGUGUACAAAAAAAGCAGUACUCUCACCUCCAGAAUUCUUACCCUCCCUGUCCUGCUGUAUCUUUCUCCUUAGCAUAAUUUAUCACCGUCUGACAAACUAGAUAUUUUACUUAUUUAUUGUCUAUCUCCCCUCUAGGCUAAGAUACAAGCUAAAUGAAAGUAGAGAUGUUUGAAUUGUUUGCUACUAUGUCCUCAGGACCAAGAACAGUGUCUGCCUUAUAGUAGAUGCCCAGUAAAUAUUUGUUGAAUGUAUGAAUGAGGCCAAUUUCAGUGAGGGCCCAACUACCUUCAAGCAGGAUAGCCCUGCUAGAGGGAAUAUAAACUCUUGGAUCAGUCCUAUGUGUAGGCUCUGUGGGCUUCUGACCAACCGGUUCCCCAUCCAAAGCAUCCCUCCUUCCCAUCUUCUCUCCAUACCCUUUUGCUCACUCUUUAAAGAUUUUUGGAGAUGUUCAACUGAGUUGUCUUUAUGUAACUGGAGAGGGCACUAGAUUCUCCAGCUCACUCAUUAGCUCCAGUUAGUUGAUCCGAUUAAUCUUUUACUGCUUACGGCUGCUACAAAAGUAGCCUGGGGUUCCUUUAAGGAGGUGCUGUCAGAGGUCUACAACAGUUCCAUUAUACAAAGAAAAUUAUGUGGGUACCCACAAGGUCAACCACAAAUUAUCUUUUCUUCCAGUCCAAUCAUCCUUCUUUGCCUUUGAGUUGGACAAGAAGGGAGGACAAU
rnacentral:lncRNA from 1 species